rnacentral:tRNA from 1 species
GGUUCCAUAGUGUAGUGGUUAGCACAUCUGCUUUACACGCAGAAGGUCCUGGGUUCGCGCCCCAGGUGGAGCCA